GAGGAGUUUGAUCCUGGCUCAGGACGAACGCUGGCGGCGUGCUUAACACAUGCAAGUUGAACGAGAAUUUUUCAGUYGAUUUCUUCGGAAUGAAACSGAAAAAGGAAAGUAGCGAACGGGUGAGUAACACGUGAGAAACCUGCCUUUCACAAAGGGAUAGCCUCGGGAAACCGGGAUUAAUACCUUAUGAUACAUUAAUAUCGCAUGAUGUAAAUGUUAAAGAAUUUCGGUGAAAGAUGGUCUCGCGUCUGAUUAGCUAGUUGGUAAGGUAGUGGCUUACCAAGGCAACGAUCAGUAGCCGGAUUGAGAGGUUGAACGGCCACACUGGAACUGAGACACGGUCCAGACUCCUACGGGAGGCAGCAGUGGGGAAUUUUGCACAAUGGGGGAAACCCUGAUGCAGCGACGCCGCGUGAACGAUGAAGGUCUUCGGAUUGUAAAGUUCUGUCCUUAGCGAAGAUAAUGACAGUAGCUAAGAAGCAAGCCCUGGCUAAAUACGUGCCAGCAGCCGCGGUA
rnacentral:rRNA from 1 species